AGGAUGAGAAGCUUCGACUAAGGUUCGACUAAGGUUCGACUAAGGUUCGACUCGAGCGAAGCGAGAGAACGUUGCCGCAGGCAACGGCCCGAAGGGCGAGGAGCUUUAGCGCCGAGUAAUCCUUCCCCCACCACCA
rnacentral:sRNA from 1 species